UACGUAGGGUGCAAGCGUUAAUCGGAAUUACUGGGCGUAAAGCGUGCGCAGGCGGUUGUGCCAGACAGAUGUGAAAUCCCCGGGCUUAACCUGGGAACUGCAUUUGUGACUGCACGGCUAGAGUGUGUCAGAGGGGGGUAGAAUUCCACGUGUAGCAGUGAAAUGCGUAGAUAUGUGGAGGAAUACCGAUGGCGAAGGCAGCCCCCUGGGAUAACACUGACGCUCAUGCACGAAAGCGUGGGGAGCAAACAGG
rnacentral:rRNA from 1 species